GUGACGUUGGCGUAGCGGACCCAGUCGGCGGCUUCCUGUGCCGUACCGGUGCCGUAGUUCGCGAUGAUCAUCGGUUCGGCGCCGGUACGCCGCGCC
rnacentral:tRNA from 1 species